UGACCGCGUAGCUCAGUUGGAAGAGCAUUGGGCUAGUAUUCCAAAGGUCGUAGGUUCGAAUCCCACCAUUCAA
rnacentral:tRNA from 1 species